rnacentral:rRNA from 1 species
CCUACGGGUGGCAGCCGUAGGGAAUCUUCGUCAAUGGACGCAAGCCUGAUCGAGCAAUGCCGCGUGCAUGAAGACGGUCCUCGGAUCGUUAAACCCCGUUGUUAGAGAAGAAAGUGCGUGUGAGCAACUGUUCACGUUUCGAUGGUACCUAUCCAGAACGCCACGGCUCACUACGUGCCAGCAGCCGCGGGAAUACGUUGGGGGCAAGCGUUAGCCGGAUUUAUUGGGCGUAAAGGGAACGCAGGCGGUCUUUUAAGUCUGAGGUGAAAGCCUGAGGCUUAACCUGUGUAUUGCAUUGGAUACUGGGAGGCUAGAGAGCAGAAGAGGUAGGUGGAAUGCAAGGUGUAGCGGUGAAAUGCGUAGAGAUAUGAAAGAACACCGAUGGCGAAGGCAGCUUACCGGUCUAUUACUGACGCUGAGGCACGAAAGCGUGGGGAGCAAACAGGAUUAGAUACCCUUGUAGUC